rnacentral:snoRNA from 9 species
ACCUUCUUAUUUAGGCUCUGAGCUGAAAUUGCAGAAACUCUAUCAUAUCUUAGUCUUUGUAAUAAAGCUAGCAGAGUAAACACAGGAAGAGAGGCAACUCUCCCAGGUAGUAGAAAAACUGAGAUGAACCUCUUUCUGAAGUGCGGGCUACUUCAUUCUAAGAUUUGGUACAAUAAUA